GAAAGGAGUUGUUUGGAAUGAAGAUUUACAAGAAGAAGUAAUUCCAUCUAAUUGAAUUAGUGAUAAAAUUGUUUGUCGGCUUCCAGAGUAUUUUCGAAAAGUUAUAUGGUCUCUAUGGAUAUGAAGGGCAAAGCUUCUUUUAUUGUAUUCAAUGGACCAAAAAAACCCUCGGUUAAUGGAACAUUGUUUGACUUUCUAAAUUACGCUUUAUUUCAAAAAGGUGGUGGAAAA